rnacentral:rRNA from 1 species
UACGUAGGGUGCAAGCGUUGUCCGGAAUUAUUGGGCGUAAAGAGCUCGUAGGCGGUCUGUCACGUCGGCUGUGAAAACCCGAGGCUCAACCUCGGGCCUGCAGUCGAUACGGGCAAACUAGAGUGUUGCAGGGGAGACUGGAAUUCCUGGUGUAGCGGUGAAAUGCGCAGAUAUCAGGAGGAACACCGAUGGCGAAGGCAGCUCGCUGGGACGGUACUGACGCUGGAGGCGCGAAAGCGUGGGGAGCAAACAGG